UUUUCGCCUCGAGGUAGAUUUCGUUUUCGCCUUUUCGCCUCGGGGUAGAUUUCGUUUUCGCCUUUUCGCCUUGGGGUAGAUUUCGUUUUACGGCAGAACUUAUCGUUUUAUCCGGUUUCUUCUUCUUCUUGUUCUCCUUUUUCUUUUUUUUUUUGGUUAAACCGAAACACAGGAAAAUUUUCCGCGUUUUUCGUGAAUUUUCGUGAAUUUUCGUGCGAUCCAGAGUUCUUAGAGUCAAGUUUGCAACUCUCGCCCUCGUUCCCGUCGAAAAAGAAGCUUGGAAAACCGUUGAAAAAGCACAAAACCGGAGCGCGAAGAAAAACCAGAGAUAUAGUCUUUUUUUAGUCUCCAGCUAUAGUCUUUUGAUGACCCUUUUUGUGGGCCUUGCAAUUUUGAGGUUAUCCACGACGAAGGUGACCUUGAAUGAUCAGCUGGUGGACGCCAAAUCGGAGGACCAAUCAGAAAUCAGGAUCAGAAAAGCCGAUUCUUUUUCCGAACAGCUUAACUUUUUUGGGUUUUCCAUGAAUUUUCCUUAAAAAAGACAUCUUCAAGCAAAGAUCCUGUAAUAAUAAAGAUUACGGGUAGCCUUUUCGGCCGAUAAGGGAACGAUAAUCGGACCAUCGCACAUCCGGAACAUCCGCUCCCGAAGAAAGUACUCAGGCAAGUCCUUUCGGAAUCACCUUUCGGAAUUGUCCUUUCGAACAAGCAGGAAAAUGAUCCUUCUUUGGAUGAAUCUUGCUCCGUCCGGUCAGGUCCGGUCAGGUUUUUAUUUGUCCUUGUUCAAUCCUCAUUUAUCCUUCUGCCGGUAACGACUCUGAAACGGGUAUAAAGUAAUGUUUCUUCUGAUACGUUAAAUGAGCCAUUUUACAGUAAAUUGCUGUGAUCGGAUAUGUCUGUAACGUACUGCGCAACACGUAAGAGGACGAAUAGAAUUCGGCCUAUCUUGUCUGCUUAUCCCAUUCUCUGUAAAAACGUUGUCUAGCACAUUUAACUCUUCAAAGAGUCGUAACUUUCUUCCUGUUAUCAUUUUUGUGCGUUCGUUUAUGGAAACGACUUUCACCAGCUCAAAAUUCCUCGUUAAAAUCCAACUAUAAUUGGGUUUGUUGGAAAUAGUAUAAUUUUUCAUGUAAAGACCUUCCCCCGUGAUUUUGAAAAUAAGGAUAUGGGGAGGGGGCUUCAAAUGUCCUUUUAAUGGUGUAUUCUGCUAUAGCACGGACCGGAUUAUCGGAACUGGUAACUGCUAUCUCCUUCAACACAGUAAAACUGUCCUCGAACCUGUGCGUUGAGUUCUUCUCUGUGCUUCCAUGAAGUCUUGCUUCAUCUCCCAAAUGCAAAAGCAAGUGUCGCGACAGCGGCAAAUCUGAAUGGGCUAUUAUCAACCAUGUUCCGAAACUACCCAGCAAUCUUUCUGCAAUACCUAUGUAAUUCCUGUACACAGGCGCGAAGUUUUGGUCACUCAGGUUCCUCUAGCAAAGUUGUGGCGGCUCAAUGCGGAGCGGCCAAUAGCCUAGCUGUUCAUUUUCCUAACUUCGUCCUUGCUUUUAGGCAGUUUUCGUAAACCUUACACUGAUAAUUUCCUUUAAACUACCUCAUUAACUAACUACCUACCUACCUCACUAGAAACUAACUACACUACACUAACUAACUACUUAAACGUCUAUAACUCGGCCGAUUUUCGCCAGGAGAGGCCAGUGCCGGCGGCUGACUUUGAGAAAACGUCCCAACACUGAAGGUUGAAGGCGCCCAGCUGAAGGUAUUUCGGUGAACAGCAAGGCCACACGGGCAAGAAAACCAGCUCUUGUUCGAGCUUCUCCCAUGAGCCUCAUGAAGAUGAGCUCCUCCUUGAGGUGCUGCACUUGUUGCUAAGGAGGAGGUGCUGUGGCUCUUGGGGGCUGUGGAAGAGCAGCUAAGUAAAGAAAGUUAGAGAAGCCGUGCGUAUAGCAACCUCUGCCGGGAUAACGACAUUCUUGGUUCUGUCCGGAGGACCGCAAUCCCGUGUUGAUGGACUCGAUGAUUUUACCCUUUGGAUUUCGUCUCCUGUAAAAGGUUGAAACGUAAAAAAUUAGCUUUUUUUACUUUUGGGCGUUUGGUACCUUUGCGAACUGCUUCCUGCACUGCUGCUGCGAACAAACAACUGUUUGAAAAAGUCCAGCGUCGUUCACCCUCCAGGGUCGGUUAGGGUCAGGGUCCAGUUCGGCCAAGGUCAGUUUAUCCGUACUCGAGGCAUUAAGCUACAACUUCAACCUUAGGUGUUCGCAUUAUUCGGUACAAACUUGCAACUUACAUCUGACGGGCAAACUACUUCCUUAACAACGUGGUCGACUCGGCGAAGCAUGGCGUAGCAGUCGACGGACGGUUGGUCUCUUUUCUGCUGUCCGAUCCGACCUGCGAUGGUGGCCAGUGGGAUAUGCUGGUUAAUCUGAUCAACAAGCACGGGCCAAUACCGAAGAAGUGCUUCCCGGAGAGCUACACCUGUGUGGCGAGCAAUCGUAUGAACUCGGUCAUUAAGAGCAAGCUUCGCGAAUACGCCAAGGAUCUGCGUCAGCUGGUGGCAGACGGUGCGACGGAUUAGGAGAUCACGGAGAAGAUCCGGAAGCAGAUGAACAAGAUCUACAAUGUUGUUGGCAUUUGUCUCGGUAUACCACCGGAAAAGUUCACGUGGGAGUGCUACGACAAGUCCAAGAAAUAUCUAACGAUCGGACCGAUCCGACCGAUCGAUUUUUACGGAAAGUACGUUAAUCGACGACGAUCCUCGCAGCUCGAACCUGUACGGACGGUCGUUCACCGUCGAGACAAGCGGUACACUGGCCAGUUAGAAGGCGAAGGUGAUAGCGAUCGUCCAGCGAUGGAUCCAACACAUUUUCCUGUCCCGAAAGGUCCACUCCUGCUGCUGGCUUGCACAGAUUGGCAUCGAACAAACCGCUGAUAUCACUAGCAAAAAAGUGAUCGCCUGGGUGAUUUUUUUAGGCGACAAUGAACUCAAAAAAGAACAAAAAUGAAUUUGACUACUGAGGCGUCAACUAAGGCGUCAAGUGACGGGAAUAGGCACCUUAUUAAGAACAGUUGCCGGUGGCAAUCUGUCCUAUCAGCGGCGAUCCGUUCCUUUUCAGGCUAAUCAGCUGAUAAGGCGUGCGAUGGAAGUUGGACGGCCAGUACGCUGUCGUACAAGAUGUACCACAUGGUUGGUCCGAGAAUCGACCCUUGUGGAACUCCGGCUGUGAUCACUCUCGACAGAAUCCUCUGGGAUGUCUGGAUGCGCUGGACUCUGGGAAUGGCUCCGCAUACUGCCGAAACUUACGAAGGAUUUUUUUUCUAAAAUCCCAGACAGUAAGCCUCGCAGAAAACACAUGACCACUUAGCUAACUGGAAAAUGAGAACAGACAGAGGCAACUUACUCAAACUGAGUUGCAAAUUCGUGAGAUUUUUAGGUCUCAGCCAACGUGGCCCGGUGCUGCAGACACCAGGACGCUACGCUCAACAUCCGCUGAUUGCUACUGGAGACCAUAAUUUUGUCGCCGUUAUGGAAGGUCAAUCGACAGAUCGAUAGGAACUUAAUUAAUGUGCUUAUGUCUCAUACAACCCACAGAAGGCAGCGUGUACAGCUGGGGAGAAGGUGAAGAGUGUCUACUAGGACAUGAUGCGCUUCUGGCACCACAUUCCCAUGAUGACUCUCGAGGAGGACGGGAACAGCGUGGAUCCGGACACUAAUCAGAAGGUGGAGGUUGUGUCACCGACCUCAACGGUAACGAGUGCGGUUACACUUCUCAGCGGAAAGCCAUCCUCAGUCGAUAUGAUAAACGUACCGAAACAACCGACCGACAACCGGGAUCAGCUGCAGACAGCACAGGAAUAGCAAAUCUCCUGUAGGCGACAUAUUACGCCGCCCCCUAAGGAUGCUCAACCGAUUGGGACAUUGUUGCACUCGGACUUCUUUAUUCGGCUGAUCGAUAUUUCGAGCCGCUUGAACACUACCAAUAGCUCGAAGAACUACUUUCCACAGCGGCCUCAAUCAAAUGACUCGUUGAUGUUAAUUGCAAAACGGUGGCACGAGCGGAACUAACCGCUUACCAGUCGGUACUCCGCUGGCUCCGUCAGUAACGCCAGCGCUACCAUCGACACCGUUAUCAUCUAUGAUCUCUUCUUUCGGAUUGAAAAGGAAUUCGAAGUGUUGUACCUUGAAAAUGUGGCAUCUAAGCAGACAACCGGUAAGUUCGGUGGAGGAGUCUUCUGUGGCAGCCCAAGACCGCUCGUCGGUUGUAGCGCCGGAUAAGUAAAAUUCGCGAAAAUUCGAUGCCAUAGCCGGUACGCCACGUGAUACGAUCGACGAAAAGGUGCAAUGCAGGAAGUGAACGAAGCGAUCAACAACAGCUUCGAAAUCGAAGCUGGGCCCGCGCGCCCGGUCCAUAAGCGACAAAAUGAGAAUUAUUUUGGGGGAUUCAGGAUUCUCCCCAGAAUUCUGAUGAGAAUGCUGAAUCCGCCAAUUUUGUAUGACGCAUUUGCUACUAUUUACGGGGGAUUCAGAAUGCUAAUGCGUGCAUCCUAGCGUUCUCAUCAGAAUUCUGAAUCCCCCAAAAAUUUGUUCUCCUUGGUUCGUUCGGAUAGAAUAUGUUGAAUAUAUGUUGUUGAAUAAGGUCAUUCCCUUAAGGCAUUUAUUG